UACACAGGAUAAGAACCAUUUGGAAGCCUACCACUGCCUCCAUCACUAUAAUAAAUUCAAAAUCCCUAUAUAUUUUGGUGUUUCAUUUAGGGUUUUGUUUUGUUUUUAUCAUGGAAAA